rnacentral:misc_RNA from 1 species
UUUUUCAUUGCUUGUUUAUCUGACGAUACAAAUUCAGAGUAUGAGACUCCGGCGAGCCCGCGUCGGCAGAACUGCUUCCGCCAACGGCUGUUUCCAACGUCUCGCCGAAGCAACGUCGAGUUGUCAAGGGUGGGAGUUCCUUUCGGAUUCUCGGUAAUGAUCCUUCCGCAGGUUCACCUACGGAAA